AAAAUACAAAUUUAAUCAAAUUCAUAACUUAAAUCUUGAAAUAAACUCAUAUUUUCAUUCUUUAUUUGAUGUUGUUGGCGAUGAAAAUAUGAGUGUAUUUGAAUAUUUUAGUUAUGAAUCUGAUAAAAUUUGCAUUAUAUUGAAGAUGAUUAUCAAUUUUAUGGGUUUUGAUUGAAAAUUUUGAUGAUUUUUUUGAAUUUUUGUAUAAAAAAGGAUAACAUUGUUGAAAUUUUAAAACAUAAAAUAUCAAAUUGUCACUUAAAAUUAAAAUAAAGGACCAACUCG
rnacentral:lncRNA from 1 species